CGGAAAAUGGCCAAAAACGGGUGGGCUAUAGCCUUGGUGGGGGGCGUGGGCGAAGUUCGUCCGCCGGACUCGGAAUGGCCCCAGACUUUGCGGGCGGCCUCCGUGUGCCAAAAAUAGGCCACGGGAACACCCGCGCCCAAAAUUCAGCCCCCGAAGGUCGGGGCGCCAAGACCCCCCAGCGGAAAAAUGGCCAAAAAACGGGUGGGCUAUAGCCUUGGUGGGGGGCGUGGGCGAAGUUCGUCCGCCGGACUCGGAAUGGCCCCAGACUUUGCGGGCGGCCUCCGUGUGCCAAAAAUAGGCCACGGGCACACCCGCGCCCAAAAAUCAGCCCCCGAAGGUCGGGGAGCCAAGACCCCCCAGCGGAAAAAUGGCCAAAAAACGGGUGGGCUAUAGCCUUGGUGGGGGGCGUGGGCGAAGUUCGUCCGCCGGACUCGGAAUGGCGCCAGACUUUGCGGGCGGCCUCCGUGUGCAAAAAAUAGGCCACGGGCGCACCCGCGCCCAAAAAUCAGCCCCCGAAGGUCGGGGCGCCAAGACCCCCCAGCGGAAAAAUGGCCAAAAAACGGGUGGGCUAUAGCCUUGGUGGGGGGCGUGGGCGAAGCUCGUCCGCCGGACUCGGAAUGGCCCCAGACUUUGCGGGCGGCCUCCGUGUGCCAAAAAUAGGCCACGGGCACACCCGCGCCCAAAAAUCAGCCCCCGAAGGUCGGGGCACCAAGACCCCCCAGCGGAAAAAUGGCCAAAAAACGGGUGGGCUAUAGCCUUGGUGGGGGGCGUGGGCGAAGUUCGUCCGCCGGACUCGGAAUGGCCCCAGACUUUGCGGGCGGCCUCCGUGUGCCAAAAAUAGGCCACGGGCACACCCGCGCCCAAAAAUCAGCCCCCGAAGGUCGGGGCGCCAAGACCCCCCAGCGGAAAAAUGGCCAAAAAACGGGUGGGCUAUAGCCUUGGUGGGGGGCGUGGGCGAAGUUCGUCCGCCGGACUCGGAAUGGCCCCAGACUUUGCGGGCGGCCUCCGUGUGCCAAAAAUAGGCCACGGGCACACCCGCGCCCAAAAUUCAGCCCCCGAAGGUCGGGGCGCCAAAACCCCCCAGCGGAAAAAUGGCCAAAAAACGGGUGGGCUAUAGCCUUGGUGGGGGGCGUGGGCGAAGUUCGUCCGCCGGACUCGGAAUGGCCCCAGACUUUGCGGGCGGCCUCCGUGUGCCAAAAAUAGGCCACGGGCACACCCGCGCCCAAAAUUCAGCCCCCGAAGGUCGGGGCGCCAAGACCCCCCAGCGGAAAAAUGGCCAAAAAACGGGUGGGCUAUAGCCUUGGUGGGGGGCGUGGGCGAAGUUCGUCCGCCGGACUCGGAAUGGCCCCAGACUUUGCGGGCGGCCUCCGUGUGCCAAAAAUAGGCCACGGGCACACCCGCGCCCAAAAAUCAGCCCCCGAAGGUCGGGGCGCCAAGACCCCCCAGCGGAAAAAUGGCCAAAAAACGGGUGGGCUAUAGCCUUGGUGGGGGGCGUGGGCGAAGUUCGUCCGCCGGACUCGGAAUGGCCCCAGACUUUGCGGGCGGCCUCCGUGUGCCAAAAAUAGGCCACGGGCACACCCGCGCCCAAAAAUCAGCCCCCGAAGGUCGGGGCGCCAAGACCCCCCAGCGGAAAAAUGGCCAAAAAACGGGUGGGCUAUAGCCUUGGUGGGGGGCGUGGGCGAAGUUCGUCCGCCGGACUCGGAAUGGCCCCAGACUUUGCGGGCGGCCUCCGUGUGCCAAAAAUAGGCCACGGGCACACCCGCGCCCAAAAAUCAGCCCCCGAAGGUCGGGGCGCCAAGACCCCCCAGCGGAAAAAUGGCCAAAAAACGGGUGGGCUAUAGCCUUGGUGGGGGGCGUGGGCGAAGUUCGUCCGCCGGACUCGGAAUGGCCCCAGACUUUGCGGGCGGCCUCCGUGUGCCAAAAAUAGGCCACGGGCACACCCGCGCCCAAAAAUCAGCCCCCGAAGGUCGGGGCGCCAAGACCCCCCAGCGGAAAAAUGGCCAAAAAAUGGGUGGGCUAUAGCCUUGGUGGGGGACGUGGGCGAAGUUCGUCCGCCGGACUCGGAAUGGCCCCAGACUUUGCGGGCGGCCUCCGUGUGCCAAAAAUAGGCCACGGGCACACCCGCGCCCAAAAUUAAGCCCCCGAAGGUCGGGGCGCCAAGACCCCCCAGCGGAAAAAUGGCCAAAAAACGGGUGGGCUAUAGCCUUGGUGGGGGGCGUGGGCGAAGCUCGUCCGCCGGACUCGGAAUGGCCCCAGACUUUGCGGGCGGCCUCCGUGUGCCAAAAAUAGGCCACGGGCACACCCGCGCCCAAAAUUCAGCCCCCGAA
rnacentral:lncRNA from 1 species